rnacentral:rRNA from 1 species
GACGUAGGGCGCGAGCGUUGUCCGGAAUCAUUGGGCGUAAAGCGCGCGUAGGCGGCCCGGUAAGUCCGCUGUGAAAGUCAAAGGCUCAACCUUUGAAUGUCAGCGGAUACUGCCGGGCUAGAGUCCGGAAGAGGCGAGUGGAAUUCCUGGUGUAGCGGUGGAAUGCGCAGAUAUCAGGAGGAACACCAACGGCGAAGGCAGCUCGCUGGGACGGUACUGACGCUGAGGCGCGAAAGCGUGGGGAGCGAACAGG